CCGCUAUCCGUAGAGAUUCGCAAGAGGCGAGGAAAAUAGCUCUGCUACUAGGGACCAUUACGAUGGUCUAUUAGUAUUUUCUAAAGAAUACGUCCUUUUUGGGUUGUCAAGCUAACAGUCCAGGAUAGGGACACAUGCCUCUGCAAAACCUACGCCAACCUCCAGUUCAUGGCAGACCAACUACAGUAUCACAGCAGUCACUGUUAUAUAUCUCAAAGGCGAUAAAGAGCAUCGAGGCCCUCCCACCAGAUCACCUGGAGACAAUCUGUGGGACAGUGAAGAUACACCAGAUCGUCAGCGACAGUCCAGAGGAUACUCAGUUGCUUCUGUUCCUUUCCACAUCACUGCACUCCACAGACUGUGACUCUGUUUGAAAAAAUAGAGGCAGACCAAGAUGGAAAAUCCAACACAUCUCACAGCGCCUUCCAGCCCGUUGAAGAUCAAAGUGAAGCAUUGAUUGGAAAGUGGUGUGGGGUGGAGUGUGAUCAGGACGUUUACCCUGGCAUCGUGCAAGACGUUCACACAGAGAGUGGUGCUCUUGUUAAAACCAUGAGUCGCGUUGGCCCCAACCGUUUUUUUGGAGGCCGAUGAGAGACAACAUCAUAUGAUACAGACCACAGCAUGUGCUUGGACUUGCCCUUGAACCCCGACCCUGUGACCAAGAGGUACAUGGAGCUGGAUGGUUGGUCUGAGAGGAACGUGGCCCUAUUUCUAAGCCUUAGAUACUCAUAUACAGUACAAAGCAGGACAUAAAAUCAUGCAUUAAAUAAAACAUGUGCAGCUCUCAAUGAACUUUUCCCUCAAUAUAUAGGUGCUGGAAGUUCUAGUUGUUGCAUCUAAGUGUAGUCAAAGACAAAACAUUGUUCUCAUGUUAAAAAGGUGCUAGUUCCAGUGUUUUAGAAUCUUACUUUGUCUUUUAUUAUUUAAAUGUUUAAACAAUGGUUGUGGUUCAAAAUGUUAGCAAUAAAAUAUUGUUUUCCUACGUAAUUUUUUUUUACAUAUACUCAUUUAUUCAGAAAUAUGUGUUGUGGUCUAUGUAUAAUUUACAUUGAUUGAUCAUUUACAUUGAUUGAUUUGUUUUAGAUAGGGAAAUCAUAUGGUUGUUAUCAUAAUCUCACAAAAAGGUUGGGUGGAAAUAUCUUAUUUUUCAUAAAUGUUUUCAGCUGUCACCAAGGCAAGUUUAUACAUUCAGGCGUCGUGUUGAAUUA